AUGGCUAUGAAGAAAUAUUUCUUCUCCUAUGGAUCCUUCUCAAUUAAGGACGGCUCGGAAAUUAGAUUCUGGGAGGACAAGUGGCUGGGAAAUGCCACACUCCGAGAACAAUAUCCAGCUCUAUACAACAUUGUGCGUCAUAAGGGUGAUACUAUAGCCACGGUAAUGGAAUCAUUUCCGCCAAAUGUGACGUUCAGAAGAGAUUUAAUUGGACCCAGACUUCAAUCAUGGUAUAUCCUGCUCCAGCGUUUGUCCACGGUGCAUUUGUCACAUGGGUGUGAUGUAUUUCUAUGGAACCUACAUGGGAAUGGACAAUUCUCAGUGGAGUCUAUGUAUAGAGCAUUAAUCCAGUCUGAUGUGCCAGUUGAUAAUAAUAAGAAGAUCUGA
rnacentral:rRNA from 1 species